CCUACGGGAGGCUGCAGUGAGGAAUAUUGGUCAAUGGACGAGAGUCUGAACCAGCCAAGUAGCGUGAAGGAUGACUGCCCUAUGGGUUGUAAACCUCUUUUAUAAAGGAAUAAAACGAGGCACGUGUGCCUUUUUGCAUGUACUUUAUGAAUAAGGAUCGGCUAACUCCGUGCCAGCAGCCGCGGUAAUACGGAGGAUCCGAGCGUUAUCCGGAUUUAGUGGGUUUAAAGGGAGCGUAGAUGGGUUGUUAAGUCAGUUGUGAAAGUUUGCGGCUCAACCGUAAAAUUGCAAUUGAUACUGGCAGUCUUGAGUACAGUUGAGGUAGGCGGAAUUCGUGGUGUAGCGGUGAAAUGCUUAGAUAUCACGAAGAACCCCGAUUGCGAAGGCAGCUUACUAAACUGUGACUGACAUUGAUGCUCGAAAGUGUGGGUAUCAAACAGGAUUAGAUACCCCGGUAGUC
rnacentral:rRNA from 1 species